rnacentral:rRNA from 1 species
AUAUCAAUAAGCGGAGGAAAAGAAACUAACAAGGAUUCCCCUAGUAACGGCGAGUGAAGCGGGACGAGCUCAAAUUUGUAAUCUGACUAUUUCAUAGUCCGAGUUGUAAUCUCGAGAAGCAGUUUCCGCGCUGGCUGGCAUACAAGUCUGUUGGAAUACAGCGUCAUAGUGGUGAGAACCCCGUAGAUGAUGCCAAUCCCAGUGCUCUGUGAUCUGCUUUCGAAGAGUCGAGUUGUUUGGGAAUGCAGCUCAAAGUGGGUGGUAAAUUCCAUCUAAAGCUAAAUAUUGGCGAGAGACCGAUAGCGCACAAGUA